GAUGAACGCUGACAGAAUGCUUAACACAUGCAAGUCAACUUGAAUUUGGGUUUUUAACUUAGGUUUGGGUGGCGGACGGGUGAGUAACGCGUAAAGAACUUGCCUCACAGCUAGGGACAACAUUUGGAAACGAAUGCUAAUACCUAAUAUUAUGAUAAUAGGGCAUCCUAUAAUUAUGAAAGCUAUAAGCGCUGUGAGAGAGCUUUGCGUCCCAUUAGCUAGUUGGAGAGGUAACGGCUCACCAAGGCGAUGAUGGGUAGACGGCCUGAGAGGGUGAUCGGCCACAAGGGGACUGAGACACGGCCCUUACUCCUACGGGAGGCAGCAGUGGGGAAUAUUGGACAAUGGACCGAGAGUCUGAUCCAGAAAUUCUGUGUGCACGAUGAAGUUUUUCGGAAUGUAAAGUGCUUUCAGUUGGGAAGAAAAAAAUGACGGUACCAACAGAAGAAGUGACGGCUAAAUACGUG
rnacentral:rRNA from 1 species